GGAGUGGUACUCAAGCUGGCUGAAGAGGACGGUUUGCUAAAUCGUUAGACGGUUUACCCCGUGCGUGGGUUCGAAUCCCACCCACUCCG
rnacentral:tRNA from 2 species